rnacentral:rRNA from 1 species
GAUGAAUGCUGGUGGCGUGCCUAAUACAUGCAAGUCGAGCGAAUGGAUUAAGAGCUUGCUCUUAUGAAGUUAGCGGCGGACGGGUGAGUAACACGUGGGUAACCUGCCCAUAAGACUGGGAUAACUCCGGGAAACCGGGGCUAAUACCGGAUAACAUUUUGAACCGCAUGGUUCGAAAUUGAAAGGCGGCUUCGGCUGUCACUUAUGGAUGGACCCGCGUCGCAUUAGCUAGUUGGUGAGGUAACGGCACACCAAGGCAACGAUGCGGAGCCGACCUGAGAGGGUGAUCGGCCACACUGGGACUGAGACACGGCCCAGACUCCUACGGGAGGCAGCAGUAGGGAAUCUUCCGCAAUGGACGAAAGUCUGACGGAGCAACGCCGCGUGAGUGAUGAAGGCUUUCGGGUCGUAAAACUCUGUUGUUAGGGAAGAACAAGUGCUAGUUGAAUAAGCUGGCACCUUGACGGUACCUAACCAGAAAGCCACGGCUAACUACGUGCCAGCCGCCGCAGUAA